UACGUUCUCGGGACUUGUACACACCGCCCGUCAAGCCAUGAAAGUCGCCAACACCCGAAAUUCGAUCACUUAGAUCGGCCUAAGGUGGGGGAGAUGAUUAGGGUU
rnacentral:rRNA from 1 species